AAACUUGUGAUUUUCCAUUAGCAGAAUUUUCAUGCGCAGCGACGCAUUGUCACAUGAUUCCGGCCAAAAAAAAAAAACAAGAAAGCGAGUAGAUCGCUACUGCCCAUGACAGCUCGAACUUCAUC